CAAGGGGAAGCCGAAAACCUGUAGAAAAGAGUAGGCC
rfam:Chitinophaga niabensis strain DSM 24787 genome assembly, contig: Ga0070009_12